CAGAGGUUAACAAGACAUUUCUCUUGCCCUGGAGCAAUCAUCAGCAGACAUACACUUCAAGGUGGUCUAAAGUCUCUUCUGUCCUCUGGAAAGAACUGGCAACUCCUCAAGCAAACACUGGUGCUCUUUCCUGUCACCAGGCUUCGUGGAUAAUUGGAAGGUGUCCGUGAGUGUUGGCAUUUCCACAGCAGCCGUUGACUCACUCUCAUGCACAACAGGAGAAAAUGCCUUCAUUUCUAAAGAAAUAAAUCUUCACUACAGUCCACUCAAAUGGAUACGGAUUGUGACAGUCCGCCAGGAAAUGACAAACAUACUUACGAAAUCUUCCUUCAGCUGUAUGGAUUCAAAUGAUCCUGAAAACAGAGCCAGGUUCUGGAGAGGCAGGCUGAGUGUACCUAAAAUGACUGCAAUAUGGCAUGUCAGAAAAAAGUUAAUUGACUGUCACUGAAUGGUAUGUAACAGAGAAAUGCCCCCUCAUCAGAGUUUCAUUUCCAAACAAAUACCACGUUAGGAAAAGC